GGGUCAGUAGGUUGGUCGUGCCACCGGUACGUACUGGUCUCACUGAUUCCUCCUUCCUGAAGAACCGUAAUGCCAUUAAUUGGGUGUUGCGGGGAAACAGGACUGUUACUUUGAAAAAAUUAGAGUGUUUAAAGCAAGCUAACGCUUGAAUACAUUAGCAUGGAGUAAUGAAAUAGGACGAUCGAUCCUAUUUUGUUGGUUUCUAGGAUUGACGUA
rnacentral:rRNA from 1 species